rnacentral:rRNA from 1 species
GACGAACCGUGCGAACGUUAUUCGGAAUCACUGGGCUUAAAGCGCGUGUAGGCGGCCCGGCACGUCCGACGCUGAAAUCCCCCGGCUCAACCGGGGAACGGGCGCGGAUACGACCGGGCUGGAGGGGGGUAGGGGGCGCCGGAACUUCCGGUGGAGCGGUGAAAUGCGUUGAGAUCGGAAGGAACGCCCGUGGCGAAAGCGGGCGCCUGGACCCCACCUGACGCUGAGACGCGAAAGCCAGGGGAGCGAACGGG